UACGUAGGGCGCAAGCGUUAUCCGGAAUUAUUGGGCGUAAAGAGCUCGUAGGCGGUUUGUCGCGUCUGCCGUGAAAGUCCGGGGCUCAACUCCGGAUCUGCGGUGGGUACGGGCAGACUAGAGUGAUGUAGGGGAGACUGGAAUUCCUGGUGUAGCGGUGAAAUGCGCAGAUAUCAGGAAGAACACCCGUGGCGAAGGCGGUUCUCUGGAACGCAACUGACGCUGAGACGCGAAAGCCAGGGGAGCAAACGGG
rnacentral:rRNA from 1 species